GUGGGUGUAGCUCAGUGGUAGAACACUUGCUUAUCAUGCUUAAGGUCCUGGGUUCCAACCCCAGCACCCCCC
rnacentral:tRNA from 1 species